ensembl:snRNA U6 U6 spliceosomal RNA
UUGCUCACUGCAGCAAUACAUAUGCUAAGAUUGGAAUAAUACAGAGGAAGUUGGCAUGAUUCAUGCUCCAAGAUGACCUGCAGAUUCAUAAAUUAUCCCACACUCUU